rnacentral:rRNA from 1 species
AUGCCAUCGCCUUCCCCAAUGGCGCCACUUUCCUGCCGUGACCUCUCCCCGCAGCUCUCCUCCCUCCCGCACCGCGGCACCGCCGCCGCCACCACCCACACACAAAUCUCCCUCCGACGCGCUCCAGCCCCGCGCACACCACUCACCACCGCCAAAAGACUGCAGCUCCCCUCCGCGGCCACCAGGGACGACGCGCUCGCCUCCCUCGUCGGCCAGCUAGGGCAGAACCUCACCCAAGACGAGGAAGAGGACGACCUGUACCUUCCCGACGAUGCUUCGUCCGGCCGGCGCCGCGGAGCACAGAAGCACCAGGACGAGCUGCCCGCACGGUGGCGGGAGAUCCACGGCAGCGACGACUGGGCGGGGCUUCUUGACCCGAUGGACCCGCUGCUCCGCUCCGAGCUCAUCCGCUACGGCGAGCUCGCGCAGGCCUGCUACGACGCCUUCGACUACGACCUGGCCUCCCGCUACUGCGGCAGCUGUAAGUACCCGCGGAGCGCCUUCUUCGAGCGGCUGGGCAUGCCCGACGCGGCGCGGGGCUACGCCGUCACCCGCUACCUGUACGCCACGUCCAACUUCCGCUUCCCCAACUUCUUCUCCGGGAAGUCCCGCGCCGACGCCAAGCUCUGGAGCCAGCGCGCGAACUGGAUCGGCUACGUGGCCGUGUCCACCGACGAGGAAUCCGCGCGGCUGGGCCGGCGCGACAUCGCCAUCGCGUGGCGCGGCACCAUCACGCGGCUCGAGUGGGUGUCGGACCUCAUGGACUACCUCCGGCCCGUCGCCGACGAGGGCAUCCCGUGCCCGGACCCCGAGGUGAAGGUGGAGUCCGGCUUCGUGGACCUCUACACCGACAAGGACCCCUCCUGCCGCUUCUGCAAGUACUCCGCUCGGGAGCAGGUCCUGGUGGAGGUCCGCAAGCUCGUUGCCCACUACACCGCCCUCGGCGAGGACGUGAGCAUCACCGUCACCGGCCACAGCCUCGGCAGCUCGCUCGCCAUCCUCAGCGCCUAUGACAUCGCCGAGUCCGCCGCCAACCUCUCCAACGGCAAGAGGGCGGCGGUGUGCGUGUACUCCUUCUCGGGGCCGCGGGUGGGGAACGGGCGGUUCAGGGAGCGGUUCGAGGGGGAGCUCGGGGUGAAGGCGCUGCGGGUGACGAACGUGCACGACAACGUGCCGCGGAUGCCGGGGAUCUUCCUGAACGAGGGGGUGCCGGAGAUGGUGCGGCGGGUGGCGGAGGGGCUGCGGAUGCCGUGGUGCUACAGCCACGUCGGCGUGGAGCUCGCCCUCGACCACAAGCGCUCGCCGUUCCUCAAGGACACGCUCGACCCCGGCUGCUCCCACAACCUGGAGGCGCACCUGCACCUCCUCGACGGGUACCAUGGCAGCGGGGAGCGGUUCGUGCUGGCGAGCGGGCGCGACCCGGCGCUGGUGAACAAGGCGUCCGACUUCCUCAAGGACCACCACUGCGUGCCGCCCUACUGGCGCCAGGACGAGAACAAGGGCAUGGUCCGCGCACCCGACGGCCGCUGGAUCCAGCCCGACCGCCGUGGCCACCUGGACGACGAUCAUCACCACGACGGUCACCACGUCGUCGACGGCGACCACCACGGCCACUUCCGCCUCUUCCGCCAGCCGUGA